rnacentral:piRNA from 1 species
UGCACAAGAUGGCAGAGGCCAACCGUGC